rnacentral:ncRNA from 1 species
CUAAAGACUGUGAAGGGAAUAAAACAUAUGUGCACGAGCAAAAGAGAGCCGGUGUUUGGUGAAAACCGGUGCCGUACCCUAUGUAAAUAACUCGUCCCAGAGUCGCCUGGCCGAAAAUAUUUUUAUUAGGUCAGGACGUUUAGCAGCGUUAAUAGCUAGGCCUUGUUGGAGGUUACAAAGAGCCGUAUUUACGGCUGAAUUUGGGUGGUACCGCGUGGAUUAUAUUAUCCUCGCCCCUUAU